rnacentral:tRNA from 7 species
GGAGUGGUAUCGAAGUGGUCAUAACGGGACUGACUCGAAAUCAGUUGUACCUUCGGGUACCGUGGGUUCGAAUCCCACCCACUCCGCCA